rnacentral:rRNA from 1 species
UCGAGCGAGAAAACCGGGGCAACUCGGUGAGUACAGCGGCGGAAGGGUGCGUAAUACAUGGAUAACGUACCCCCCAGUUCGGGAUAACCCUCCGAAAGGUGGGCUAAUACCGGGUAAUGGCAGCGGGUGGCAUCAUUUGCUGCUUAAAGACGCAAGUCGCUGGGGGAGCGGUCCAUGGCCUAUCAGCUAGUUGGCGGGGUAACGGCCCACCAAGGCAAUGACGGGUAGCCGGACUGAGAGGUUGAACGGCCACACGGGAACUGAGACACGGUCCCGACAUCUACGGAUGGCAGCAGUAGGGAAUCUUGCGCAAUGGGCGAAAGCCUGACGCAGCGACACCGCGUGGGGGAUGAAGGCCUUCGGGUUGUAAACCCCUUUCAUGAGGGAAGAACACUGACCUAACCUCAGGAAGAAGCACCGGCUAACUCCGUGCCAGCAGCUGCGGUAAUACGGAGAGUGCAAACGUUG